rnacentral:rRNA from 1 species
CCUACGGGAGGCAGCAGUGAGGAAUAUUGGUCAAUGGCCGGAAGGCUGAACCAGCCAAGCCGCGUGAGGGACGACUGCCCUAUGGGUUGUAAACCUCUUUUAUAAGGGAAGAAUAAAUGAUACGAGUAGCAUGAUUCCUGUACCUUAUGAAUAAGCAUCGGCUAACUCCGUUCCAGCAGCCGAGGUACUACGGGGGAUGCGAUCUGUAUCCGGAUUUAUUGGGUUUAAAGGGUGUGUCGGGGGUUUUUUAAGUUAGUGGUAAAACGUCGGGGCUUCACCUUGAUUUGCCAUUAAUACUGGAAGACUCGAGUUCAGUCGAGGUAGGCGGAAUAAGUGAUGUAGCGGUGAAAUGCUUAGAGAUA